rfam:Candidatus Magnetomorum sp. HK-1 HK1c2670, whole genome shotgun sequence.
GAAAUGGCCUUCUGUAAGGGCUAUCCACCCACCCGUAUCGAGCCUUGGACCCAUGGCGGAGUUGCUCAAAGGUUUAUGCAGCGAACAAGAUGGGUUAAGCAUAGGCAGAGAAUCUUGUAGGCCGCAGGGGUGAUCGCGCACCCUGAAGUGCUGGUACAGCUUCGAAAUUACAAUUGCGGACGCCGAGGGUUUUAACGUGCACCGAAGGCAACACGGAAGCAUUCACUAAAGGCGAGAAUGUGGAGGUCCGCCGGAGUCCACAGGCCG